AUGGAAAGGUCAAAGGUAAGCCUCCCUCUUCGGCUCUGGGAGAGGAGGGGGGCACACCUCCCAACAAAACAACACGCUGGCAUCCAACCUGGGGAGCUCAGAAUGGCAGGCCGACGCAAGGGGCCGGGCUACGCGCUCUCCAGGCGUCCAGGGGGCCGGCUCAGCACCCCUUCCGGCCCAAACCAAUUCCGAUCUAGGGACCGAGAGAGACCUCGGCCCUGCAGCACGCACGCCGCACUCUCCCGGGGUCCUGGCACCCCCAUGCUCCGUGGGGCGCGCGAUGGGCUCAGGGAGGCCAAUGGACGACCUUCGAGGCUGCUAUCUGGGCACGGCCUCCACCCACCCCGACGGUACUCAAUGAGCACCCCAAAUCCUGAGGCUCAGGGUGUCUUGUCCUCUGCCUCCUACGGCGAGACGCACACGGAACCCACCAGUCCAGCUGCCGCUGCGGUCCCGCAAGACGCGACGUCCCGGCUGCGGGGACCGGGGACUGGGGGUGGGGCCCCACCUCCUCUCGCCGCCGACCCCGCGCGGCGCAGCCCGGGGCCGAGCGUCCCCCGGGGGGGCCCCGCGCGCCCACCGCGCCAGCGAGCAGGUGACCGAGUCCCGAGACCCAGUGCGCACGCCCUCCCACCCGGGCCCCCGCGUCCCCCGGUGCGGCCCUUACCUCGGAGCGGGCCGGGGCGGCCCCGCGGGGCCGGGCGCGGACUGGGCCGGGGAGACGCGCCUCCCGCCACCGCCGCUGGGAGCCGAGGCGGCGAGCGGGCGCGGCGAGCUCCUCCCGGGCGGCGGCGGGAGGCGCUGCUCUGGCUGCCGCCGCCGCCGCCGCCGCGGCUGCGGUUCUCGAAGCUACGCGGCCGCCACUCCCGGGCCGCCGCCGCCGCCGCCGGUCCCUUGGCUCCUGCGGGAGGCCGGCUGCUCGCGCGGCAAACUCUUCCGCACGCAGAGCCGGCGGGGACAGCCGCCGCCGCCUCUUCCUCCUCCCCCUCCCUCCUCCCGCCUCCUCUCGGUACUCCUCCUCCUCCUCCCGGUCCUCCUCCUCCUUCCCUGAGCUCCGGCUGCCGCCGCCGGCCGGGUGUCUCCUGGCCGCACGCCGGGCCCUGGCCGCGAUCCACCCUUGGACACGCACCCUGCGCGCCCUACGGGCAGAUGGACCCUCGGACCCCUGCUUCCCUGGGCGGCACAGACACCCGUGCCCCGAGGCCGCCGCCGCUUCUGCCCGCUGCCAGGGAACGCGCGGCCGGGUCCGGCUGGGGGCACAGGGUCGGGACUCGGCUCAGGGCGGGGGCUGGUGUGUGCCUAGAGCGCAGCUGGCCCGAGGAGAGACCAGCGGAUGCCGAGCUGCCGGCUGAGGUCCGGUUAAAGUUGUCAAUAGGGGUGGCAGGGAACCUUCCUCCCCGGCCAGGUGCCGACCCACGCCCAGCCCGCUGCCACCCCUCGGUCCCGUGCUUUGGGAGCGAAUACGCCACUGUGGUCCCCUGCCGCCGUCCUCGCGGGGCAGGCCUGCGCACGGAGCCGGAGCCAUGGCACCGGGCGCGUCUUUGCAGACGGACCGCUGCGCUUUUCCUACGAGCCCCAGCGGGGGUCGGGGAGACAUGGGCGAGCGCCCUUUGCGGAGGACCUCCGCGCCUGCUGGGGAGGAAUGAUCGGUGUUUCUUCCAAGGCGAACGUAGCCGGUCCGGAAAAAUGGGUCAAGGAUGGAAAGAAGCCGGCCCAUUGCCCCCCUCCUAG
ensembl:lncRNA